rnacentral:rRNA from 1 species
GCGGCGUGCCUAAUACAUGCAAGUAGAACGCUGAAGGAGGAGCUUGCUCUUCUGGAUGAGUUGCGAACGGGUGAGUAACGCGUAGGUAACCUGCCUGGUAGCGGGGGAUAACUAUUGGAAACGAUAGCUAAUACCGCAUAAGAGUAGAUGUUGCAUGACAUUUGCUUAAAAGGUGCAAUUGCAUCACUACCAGAUGGACCUGCGUUGUAUUAGCUAGUUGGUGGGGUAACGGCUCACCAAGGCGACGAUACACAGCCGACCUGAGAGGGUGAUCGGCCACACUGGGACUGAGACACGGCCCAGACUCCUACGGGAGGCAGCAGUAGGGAAUCUUCGGCAAUGGACGGAAGUCUGACCGAGCAACGCCGCGUGAGUGAAGAAGGUUUUCGGAUCGUAAAGCUCUGUUGUAAGAGAAGAACGAGUGUGAGAGUGGAAAGUUCACACUGGACG